GAAAAAAAUCAGUUAGGUUAGUGAUCCUCAGUUCUGGUGCCUUACAGACUUCUAUGCCACCGAUUGCCUGCAAGGUUUUCCACAGUUGCUUUGGCAGCAUUGAAAGCCAGGUCUGCUCUGUGGUCCAGAGUGACAGAGAUUACAAAAUACGAGGCUAAGCCAUGCUUCUUGAUUAGUAUAGUUACAUGGGGGCCAGAGUUGUUUACCACUGUGUAAGACUUCCUGGGGAUGGGGAUUAUUUUUGUACUGACACCGUACCAGAGCUGGUUCAGACAUAGUUUUAAAGUAUUUAUUUGGCUAUGGAAUAUAGGAACUGUGCAGAACCUCCUUUGUGCUAUUGUUUGAUGGCAGUUAAUAUGUUAAUUCAUGUAUUUUUUAAGUCUCCAGCUGCCAUGCCAGUAUGGCUGAACAUCAGUGUGUAAAGGAGCACCUUGCCAGAAAUUCCUCUCUUAAACAGGAGACCAGGAGUCUGGACUUUCAUGGAGGCGAUAUGGUUCAAUCAUCUCUUCAAAGAACUUCCAGCUGAAACAGGAAUUACAAUGGAGGCCUUGCUGCAGGUCUGGAGAUCUUCUUGAUACCUGUGGGAGUUGCAUGCACUGCCAGAUGUAAUAGUCUCUGCAGGUGAAAAUUCUGAAAAUACUUGUCUGGGUACAAGCAUGGCUUCAGCCUACAGCUAGUAUUAUGAAGUUAAUGAAAUACAUACUUUCAGAUCUCCUGAGAUAUUGGCUCCUGCAAGAAUGCCAGUGGCAGCUGGGAAAAAAAUGGCAAACACCGAGAAAAAUCCUUCUCCACUUCUGAAAUCUGGUCCAAAGUUUUCUGCAAAUAUUGAUGCUGCAAAAAUAGGAAUGACUGUCCCAAUAAAGAAGUUUGCAAUGGCAACAAGGAGAACAACUAGAAGAAUAACUUGUGCCUAUUAAUAGAAACAAAAAGAGUUUCCUGAUGAUAUUAAUUUGCAGUGACUGUGGAGAUGGCUAUAUAGUUUACCUUUGCUUCCCAUUCCAUGCCAGCAACAGAGAUGCCGAGAAGACAUACAACAGUUAUGGUACCUAUUAUUCUGAUGUCAUUGGACUCAUCUACCAUCAGUGUAUCACUCUCCUGAAAGCAGUAGGAAAUGUUUGUUAUUAGAACCAGACUUUCUCUGCCCAACUGGAGAGAUCAGGUAACAAGAACAGUUUAGACUUCAUCUCUCCUGGGGCUAAAGAUGAUGAGCUCAUCAAGCCUCCGUAACAAGUGUGGAGAAUAGCCAAGAUGAAAAAAGG